AUUGAACGCUGGCGGCAGGCCUAACACAUGCAAGUCGAGCGCAGGGAACUGACGGAACUCUUCGGAGGGAAGGCAGUGGAAUGAGCGGCGGACGGGUGAGUAACACGUAAGGAACCUGCCUCAAGGAUUGGGAUAACUCCGAGAAAUCGGAGCUAAUACCGGAUAGUUCAACGGACCGCAUGGUCCGCUGAUGAAAGGCGCUCCGGCGUCACCUUGAGAUGGCCUUGCGGUGCAUUAGCUAGUUGGUGGGGUAACGGCCCACCAAGGCGACGAUGCAUAGCCGACCUGAGAGGGUGAUCGGCCACACUGGGACUGAGACACGGCCCAGACUCCUACGGGAGGCAGCAGUAGGGAAUCUUCCACAAUGGACGAAAGUCUGAUGGAGCAACGCCGCGUGAGUGAUGAAGGUUUUCGGAUCGUAAAACUCUGUUGUAAGGGAAGAACACGUACGAGAGGAAAUGCUCGUACCUUGACGGUACCUUACGAGAAAGCCACGGCUAACUACGUGCCAGCCGCCGCUGUAAUAC
rnacentral:rRNA from 1 species